GAUGAACGCUCGCUACAGGCUUAACACAUGCAGGUCGAGGGGCAGCAUGGUCUUAGCUUGCUAAGGCCGAUGGCGACCGGCGCACGGGUGAGUAACACGUAUCCAACCUGCCGUCUACUCUUGGACAGCCUUCUGAAAGGAAGAUUAAUACAAGAUGGCAUCAUGAGUUCACAUGUUCACAUGAUUAAAGGUAUUCCGGUAGACGAUGGGGAUGCGUUCCAUUAGAUAGUAGGCGGGGUAACGGCCCACCUAGUCUUCGAUGGAUAGGGGUUCUGAGAGGAAGGUCCCCCACAUUGGAACUGAGACACGGUCCAAACUCCUACGGGAGGCAGCAGUGAGGAAUAUUGGUCAAUGGGCGAGAGCCUGAACCAGCCAAGUAGCGUGAAGGAUGACUGCCCUAUGGGUUGUAAACUUCUUUUAUAAAGGAAUAAAGUCGGGUAUGGAUACCCGUUUGCAUGUACUUUAUGAAUAAGGAUCGGCUAACUCCGUG
rnacentral:rRNA from 1 species